ACCCAAUAGAUACCCUGGUAGUCCACGCCGUAAACGAUGUACGCUAGAUCGGUGCGGCUCUGACGCCGGAUCGGUCGAAAGUAAAAAAAACGAUAAGCGUACCGCCUGGGGAGUACGGUCGCAAGGCUAAAACUCAAAGGAAUUGACGGGGGUCUCACACAAGCGGUGGAGCAUGUUGCUUAAUUCGAGGCAACGCGAAGAACCUUACCUGGGUUUGACAUGGUCGGAUUAACUCCUGGAAACAGGAGCCACACCCGCAAGGGUGGAACGAUCACAGGUGCUGCAUGGCUGUCGUCAGCUCGUGCUGUGAAGUGUCGGGUUUAAGUCCUCUAACGAGCGCAACCCCGUAUCGUUAGUUGCUCACGCGUAAUGGCGAGUACUCUAGCGAGACUGCCGGUGUCAAACCCGGUAGGAAGGCGGGGUAUGACGUCAAGUCCUCAUGGCCCUUACAUCCAGGGUUGCAAACGUGCUACAAUGGUGCAUACAAAGCGACGCGAGGCCGCGAGG
rnacentral:rRNA from 1 species